rnacentral:tRNA from 1 species
AUCUAAAUAGCUUAUAUAUUAGAGUAUGACAUUGAAGCUGUUAUGGAGAUUUAAUUAAUCUUUAGAUA